CAUGGACAUAGAGCUGGUGCUUUGCAUACGGCCACCCCAGUGAUUGUCCCUUGCUCUGGGGAGCAGCUAUAAAGGGGCCGGUUUAAUGCUUGGUGUCUCUCAGCUCCGUGUCAGUCAGUGCAGAAGCAUCAAGAUGCUGUGGCAGACUCAGCUCCUUGGGCUCCUCGUGCUCUGUGUGCAGGACUCCAGUGGUGACAUUCUUGUAACCCAGACUCCAGAGUCCCUGGUGGUGUCUCCAGGAGACACAGUCACCAUCAAGUGCAAAACCAGCUCCAGUGUUAGCACCAACAUGGACCUCUUCCAGCAGAAACCAGGGCAAGCUCCUAAGAUCUUUGUCUACAACACAAAUACCCGUCCCUCCGGGAUCCCCGACCGGUUCAGUGGCAGUGGCUCUGGCACCGACUUCACUUUCACCAUCAGCCGCAUAGAAGCUGAUGAUGCUGGAGAUUAUUACUGCAUGCAGAAUACCCAGUGGCCUCGCACAGUGCUACAGCCCCAUGCAAAAACCUCCCUGCUCUGCUCAGCUCUGUUGCUCUCAGCACUGGCUGCUUCCUGUACAGUCACAGGCCAGUGAC